GAUGAACGCUAGCGGCAGGCCUAACACAUGCAAGUCGAGGGGUAGAACACUUCGGUGUUUGAGACCGGCGCACGGGUGCGUAACGCGUAUGCAAUCUGCCUUACACUAAGGGAUAGCCCAGAGAAAUUUGGAUUAAUACCCUAAAGUAUAUUGAUGUGGCAUCACAUUAUUAUUAAAAAUUUCUUGGUGUAAGAUGAGCAUGCGUCCCAUUAGCUUGUUGGUAUGGUAACGGCAUACCAAGGCUAUGAGGGGUAGGGGUCCUGAGAGGGAGAUCCCCCACACUGGUACUGAGACACGGACCAGACUCCUACGGGAAGCAGCAGUGAGGAAUAUUGGUCAAUGGGCGCAAGCCUGAACCAGCCAUGCCGCGUGCAGGAUGAAGCAUCUAUGGUGUGUAAACUGCUUUUGUACGGGAAGAAACACCUCUACGUGUAGAGGCUUGACGGUACCGUAAGAAUAAGGAUCGGCUAACUACGUGCCAGCCGCCGCGGUAAGAC
rnacentral:rRNA from 1 species